AUUCCAGCUCCAAUAGCGUAUAUUAAUGUUGUUGCAGUUAAAAAGCUCGUAGUUGGAUUUCUGGUGGGAGCGGCCGGUCCGCCGUAAGGUGUGUACUUGGUUGUCUCCUGUCAUCCUUGUGGGAACUGCUCUGGCAUUAAGUUGUCGGGGUUAGGGAACACAUCGUUUACUGUGAAAAAAUUAGAGUGUUUAAAGCAGGCUUAUGCCGUUGAAUACAUUAGCAUGGAAUAAUAAGAUAGGACUUUGGCGUCUAUUUUGUUGGUUUGCACACCAAGGUAAUGAUUAAUAGGGAUAGUUGGGGGUAUUCGUAUUUAAUUGUCAGAGGUGAAAUUCUUGGAUUUAUGAAAGACGAACUUCUGCGAAAGCAUUUACCAAAGAUGUUUUCAUCG
rnacentral:rRNA from 1 species